AUGUUUGAAUUGACUUGUUAGCAGCUUUGACCUCCUUGAGUGAAGGACCUUCAGAACUUGAAGGCUGCUCAGUGGGUAAGAGUCCCUUCACAUAGGCCAGUGUCUAUCUUGGUCAGGAAGUAAGAAUUAACGUUCUUUGGUUAGGCAAGUCCACCCCCACCUGUAAUUCCCUGAAGACGUUUUAGGAGAAUCAGGUGAUAGUCAAUCUGAACAAAUUCACUGAAACUUUGCCCUCUACGUGCGCAGUGGAGCUAUCUUAAUCCCGAACGGAACUAAGAGAUUGAACCAACAGCCAAUCUUUAAAGCAUCCUUAAUUUGUGAAUUUGAGGUAUCGACCUGUUCUAGAUAACUGUUAGCCUGCUAGUGGAGAGAUCUGUUGGCAGCGUGCUCUAAAAGAGGUAAACAAUCUAAUAUACGUGCUUUCCAACAAAGUGAACAAGAGUACAACUUAACUUUGCUGGCAAGGCUUAGUUCUGAACGUUAACAAGAAAUCAAAGUCGGGCACGGUGGCACCCAGCACUCGGGAGGCAGAGGCAGGUGGAUCUCUGAGUUCGAGGCCAUUCUGGUCUACAGAGUGAGUUCCAGGAUAGCCAGGCUACACAGAGAAACCCUGUCUCAUACAAAACAAAAACAAAAGAAAAAAGAAAUCAAAGCCCCAGAAGUAUCUCUAAUGCUGACCACUAAGUACACUUGGUACUCUGUGCUGCUUCCCUUUGGUUGGGAUCUUCCUGUUCUUUCUCUAAUGCUCUUAUGCACCAUUUGUGGUCAGGCAUUUUUCUAGAUUCUGAGGAUACAAUGAGAAAAAGCCCUGUUCUUGUAGAAUUUACUUUCCAAUAAGAGAGACCUGCAGUGAAUACAUACUUAAAUAGGUGCUAAGUGCAUUGGAAAAAGACAGAAUUGAGAGGAAAAGUGUUGUGUUGACAGGAGCUUCACGGAAUAAAUAGGGCAGUCAAGCUAGACUGUGUUGACAAAACAGGAUUUGGGCAUAAGGGAUGGGACGUGAGAAGCUAUAUUGAACAUAGGAGUGACAGUAGGGUGAAAGCAGAAAGAACUGCAGCCACAAAGACCCUGAGGCAGGUGUGCCUUGCGUGUUUGAGGACUGAAAACACAAGUGUGGCCUUGGCAGAAUGAACAAAAGGGCAGACGAAUGGACGAUGUCACUGUGACAGCUUCAGUCUUGAUUUGCAGAUGUGGGUCUCUGGUGCAGGUUUUAUCACACCUGAGUGAUGUGUGUACAUAUGUUUUAUAGAUUCUGCUGCCAUAUUGAAGAACGUACUCUGAGGGGAUACAUCAGGUAGGAGUCUGGCUCCAUAAUACAGGAAAAGUGAAGGAAGCUUUAGGACCAAGCUGAGAGCAGAAAGAGUCUGAGGAGUUACAUUCAGGAUACAUUUUGAAAUUAGAACCACCUAGAUUUACUGUCAGUUUGGAUAGAGUAUGAAGAAAGACGUGAAGGUGGACACGAGGGCUAAGUCAUUUCUAAGAGUAGAGCCUCAUAGCUGUGAUGGAGAAUGCUAAAGCAAGAACAAGUCUGGCAGAAGAAGAGCAGGCCUCUGCUGCCAGGUUUAGACGUGUGAGCUUACUGGGCUCAACUGACAUAGCUUUACAUGGAAAUGUUAAGAGAGCAUGAGUAUGUACGUCUAGAGUUCAAAGUUAAAGGUCCAGGUGGGAUUUCUAAACUUGGAUGUCAGGAAACAAACAGAUCAUCUCUAAAACCAUGGGAUUGGAUGAAGUUACCAGGAAAAUAACUCCAGAGAAGGACAAAACCCUAGAGCACUCCAAAAUUCAAAGCAAGAAGACUGACAGCUAUUAUGGGAGAAUAGCCUUACCUCUGGACUUUAAGAAUAUGAGUGAUUUUGCUCUUUUCCAAAUUAAAAACAGCAGUACAAUAAGUUGUUUUGGAUUUGUUCUUGGCCACAUUUUUUACUUGUAUAAUAUUAACCAUAAAAUGUGCUUGUCCUUUUUUAUCAAAGUGGCAUGAGAGAGCUGAGUACCCCAGAGACUCCUGACACCCUUUGAGAUACAGGCCAUGUCCAGAGCACUGAGUCUGUUCUCAAGGAACCACAGGAGGCUGCAGACUAAGCCAUGCACAUUCUUGAGCUCACUCGCCUCUUAGUUCCCUUUGCGCUGUCUUAUCUUCUCAGCUUUGUUAUAGUUUUAACUAGCUCUUCCAUUUCAGUUAUGAUGGGGUUUUUUUGAGAACCAUUUAUUUCUAGAUGCUAUUGAAUUCUAAAGUUUGGUUUGGUUGAUUUGAGCCGGAUGACCCAAGGUCUGUCUCCAGAAUCCACAGUGAAAGAAGAGAACCACUCUCAAAAAGCUGUCCUCUGACCCCAUCCCUGCACUGUGGCACAUAAAGACCCACGGCUUUUCUCUGUCACACACACAGACACUGGCUACAUGGUUAAAAACAAAUAAAAGUCACACAGAGGCCCAGAGAUGAACUGAGGCAGAGAUGGUGGCAUUCUAUUCCCAGCUCCCACUGUCCCACCGCCUGCCAUUGUAUGUGUGUGUCUGUUAUUUACCAUGUGUCUCAGACUGCGGUGACAUGCAGUGGGGCAGAGAAGCGAGUCCAGACCCAGGAACUAAGUUCCCUGCAUUUAAAUCCCGGCUUAAACCCCCAACUAUUUUGUAUAAGAUACUUCUCGUUGCUUCAGUGUCCUCAUUUAUAAACUAAAGCUAAUUAUAGUACACACUGCUCCGCUUACAUAAUAAAACUGAAGCUGCUACAUGUAAGUUACUAGUGGUGAUUCCUAAAUUCCUAAGUCAGUCAUAAACAUGGCUUUUGGGACUUUUAUCAACCUUUAAAAUUGUGUAUUUUAGUUAUCUACUAAUUUUUCCUUAGAGAAAAAAAAUGUGAGACAUAAAACCUAGUUAGAUUCCUCUGUAACUCUAACAGGAAUACCUUUUGUUGUUAGUUUAAGUCAGGGACUCACUCUAGAGCCCAAGCUGCCUCUUCCACACUCCUUCCUGAAUACUAGGAUUACAGACGUGCUACCAUGCCUGGCUUUCUGAGAUAUUUCGAGGAAGGUUUUAGGAAUUGCUGAGUUAGAGGGGGGAAAAAUGUAUAGAAAAGAACAGGACUGAAUGUUUCAAAAUUUCACUCAGAAUCCCAAGAGCUUCCAAGCAAAUCGUAUCCUAAAAUUUCUCUGUGGGUCAAGCCAACUUGCAGUGUUCAACUUUAAGUACCGUCCUGUCUUGCUUCUCUUCUGCAGAUUUUGCGGCAACUCUGUUUAGGCAGGUCCUUUCUGGUUUUCUCCCCUCACCUCUCGGGAUGAAUUUGCACUAUUUCUCUAAUCUUUCACAGCCGCUCCUGGCUAUUUGCUGGAUCUUUCUCUCGAGCAGUGUCUUUUAAUCUUUUACUUAAUCCCGUGAAGCAUCUCUGUCUGUUCGCUCUCCACCGAUGGGCAGUGUCUUGGCCUUUCUCCUUUUAGGUAAAACCCUAGGUCUGCUUUGCUUUUUCUUCUCUAUUGGGGCCUGAUUGCCUAAUAUGGUAAGGUAUUUCCCAGGCAAGACUGUACUGUUGCGCUGGAACAACAGCUUGCCUGAGUUUAAAGACACGGUAGGUAAGCUAUCAGAUAGACCUAGUUAUUUAUGUAGUAAAGCAAUAUUUUUAUAGGACACCAUAUAACAACCACAACCUUUUUUUUUUCUUGGUGUGCUUUUUCUCUUGCGUUUAACAGAGUUAAAAGGAUAAUAAAAUACAGAUUUUCUCCAUUCAGCUUCUUUAUCUUUUAACAGAUAAGGGAAAGAAUAAAUACAUAAAAGCACCCAGAGUGGGUUUUGAGAUGUCUGAGAAAUUUGAUAACAUGAUAAUUAAUGUUCAUAAGAUUUUUUUAACAAUAGGGAUAGCCGUAAUAAGCAAUAACUGUUCAGAGCAGUCCUCUGGGAGCCGGCCCCAUGGGGUUGGCAGGCUGUUUGUAGGAUAGCGAGCUCUCCUGUUUUUUUGCGGUUUGCAGCAUGGCAGUUGAGAGCAGAGGAUGGAGAUGGUAAGCGGCAGCCAACCAUCCCUGUCUGGGACAUCGCUUGCCAUGUGUUAUGCCCUGAAGAAUCUUCCCUAGUGGCCGCUGCCACCAUGCCCUGGAUGGACCUUUGCUCUCACUGUACACUGCGUGUGUUUUGCAACUGUAGUUUCUUAAAAUACUGCAGACUCUAUGCUUUUCUAUAUAUGGAUUGUGCCUUGCUCUAGUCCAGGCUGCAGAAACCAUCUCAAGGACAAAGUUCCUUUUGGCAUCUUCCUUUUAUGAGCUCCGUUAAUUUUAGGCCAUGCUGUUGCCGAGGACUCUCAGUAAUCAAAGCUCACAGGGGCUCCUUGGAAACCCUGUAGGUUUGGACUCGGUGUCAUGUUACCUCAGGGAGUUACCCUCUAAUCAGAAACCUUUUUAAAGAUUUGAUAAGCAGCCCUUCAAAGUAAUAUGGGCUUUCUUAAAAUGUCUUAUCUGAAGAUUUUCCAACUAUUAGCAUAAGUUAACCAACCUCCUAGCCUUUUCUUUUUCUGGUCUAUCUUCUUGCUGCCUCCAGUUGCCUACGAGACAUUAGUUCGUGUUAGAACCUGUAACCUUACGUGGUUCUGGUGGGGGAUCACUCAUGAGCUUGAAAUUCAGAGUAGAGAUUUUUUGGUUUGUGGGGGAGGUUGUAAUGGCUAUAAAAAGGUAAUGCAUUUCAUUAGAGAAAAUGUAUGAAGUAUGGAAAAGCAUAAAGCUGGUUCUCAAAAGCAGCAGGAGCACUUCUUGAGGCACUUGUAAAGUGCAGUGUUUUCAGAGGACAUGGUGUUUGGGGACCGUGUGUGCAAUUACUGGGAAGUGGCAGAGGUACUGUCCUGUGAUGCUCCAUAGGAGACAGACUUCCCUAGGAAGUCAGAAGAGUCUGAAAUUAAAGUCACUUUAUGGAUAAAUUCAGUUGGUAUGGAGCAAAUCUAAAAAUUCAGACACCACACAAAUUAGAGAGAAACCAUACCUAGAUGUUCUCGCCCUGACGGCAGGGCCACUGGGAGACAUUUACAAGAAGCUCUGCAUCUGCGUUCGACCUCUUCCUUCAUAGAAAUGAUGAUGUAGCCGAACCUCUGGCUACCUUAUUAUGUCUUAGAGUAUUAGUGAUCCAAGAAUUAUACGUACAUACAUAUGUGUGUGUGUGUAUGUAUGUAUGUAUGUAUGUAAAAACUGUGUGUAUAUUUUUUAAUUUUAUGUGGUAAAAAUAUAGCUCAGACAUAGUGGGCAUGGGGCAGGUUAAAUUUCUACUAUCAAAAUAAUGUGGGCUGGAGAGAUGGCUCAGCAGUUAAGAGCACUGACUGCUCUUCUGAAGAUUCUCAGUUCAAGUCCCAGCAACCACAUGGUGGCUCACAACCAUCCGUAAUGAGAUCUGACUCCCUCUUCUGGAAUGUCUGAAGACAGCUGCAGUGUACAUACAUAUAAUAAAUAAAUAAAUCUUUAAAAAAAUAAUGUGUGUGCAUGCUGGUGUAUAUUUCCUUAUAUGUUAUUCUUAUUUAUUUUAAGAUUUUAGUUAAAUUUUAUAGCUUCAGUUCAGAACAGUAAAGGUGAGGCUAUUAAAAUAUUUGUCAUAAAAAGCGAUUUUUCUUCUGCCACAAAGAUUAAGAAAAAAAUGUGGCCAUAUUAUUUCGAUAACAUUAUUAGCAUGCUGAUGAACUGGCUGGAGCUCUGGGUAUUGGCACCUGCUGCCAAACCUUGGGUUAGCUGAAUUUGAUACCUUGAACCCAUGUAGCAGAAGAGGCUUGUCUCUCUUAUAAGUUGUCCUCUGACUUCCACAUGUAUGCUACAGUGUGUGGGCUUACACACACACACACACACACACACACACACACAAUAAGUAAAGAAGUAAAAACAAUUCCUCUUUGUAUUUUCCCAAAGUGUUUCUAUUUUCCAGUACAUAUUCGAAACCAACUUAAUGAUGUUCUUGAGAGAAGGAUCAUUUUCUACUUGAACAUUCCUGAAACCCUGUCAUUACCAUGAUGACAGUUUCACAAGGUUGUCUUCAAAGCACUUGGGUUCAAGUCUUUUAUCAAAGUAGUCGGUCGUCUGAUGGCUUUGAUCAUAAGAGCCUCCAGGAAUAAUUGUUCCCCUUUGAGCUGGAGUCUAAGGAUUGCCUUGGUUACAAAAGUAUUCGUUUCUUCUGUUGAUAGCAUGCUGGAGAGCCUUAACCAUGGCUUUGGCUUAGCUAAUGUUAUGUUCUAGCCCCGUGAUUGAGGUAGAAAGCUUAGUGUGGGAUUUGAAGCCCCUUUUCAGCAAAUGGAGUGUUUAGAGAUUUGCUCCAGCAGGAAUGUUAAGCUUGUGGCAUUAACAGAUGUUACUUGUAGAAGUGCUAUUUUAUUUUAGGUAGGACCUGAAAGGUUAGAUGGUUACAGUGUAAAGACGAGUGGUUAAAAGUUAUCAGUUGUGACUUUUCUCCUACCAUCUUGUCAGUUAAGCAUGUUUAAGAGUUAGAUAACAGCCACACUGAGUGGCAGGAGUCUCUUAGGCAAACCAGACUCUCAUAUCUAAACACGAUCCUUUAAACUGCGUAAAUGUUACACACAAGUGCCCUAACAGAGUGGUCUGAAUAGGUAUGGCCCCCACAGACCUGUGUGUUUGAAUGCUUGGCCAUACAGAGCAGCACUAUUAGGAGGUGUGGAAGAGUGUCACUAGGAGGUGGGCUUUGAGCUCAAGCCAGGCCUAGUGGCUCAAAGUCUUUUCCUGCUCCCUUCUGAUCAAGAUGUAGAAUUCUCAGCGCCUACUCCAGCACCAUGUCUGCCUGUAUCUCACCAUGCUUCCUGCCAUAAUGAUAAUGGACUGAACCUCUGAACUGUAAGCCAGCCGCAGUUAAAUGUUUUCCUCUAUAAGAGUUGCCUUGGUCAUGGUGUCUCUUCCCAGCAAUAAAACUCUAAGACAAGUACUAAGUGGACCACUGGGCAUAACACUAUUUAAGGGGUAGGCAGAUGAAAAAUAUAAAAGAGAAAAGGUCAGAGAAGGAAGAUGUUAUAGGGGUGUGGAGGUGGAAGAUAGUGUUCCACCAAGCACAAGAGUAAAAAGUUCAAGGACUAUAUUUGACAGAAAAUUAAUUUGAGAUAGCUCAAGCCAUCCAUCCUGUCCUGGCUUCAGUCUUGAAAACUGGAAGUUUAUGAACAGAGCUCUACACACACACACACCAAAAAAGAAAGCCCUUUUAUAUUCCAAUGUCCUAUGUCUAGUUGACCUUGCUUGGGUCAAGUCCUCCUCAGAGCCCAUUUCUGUAGCCAGAGAUUAGAUGAGACAGAGUGAAAGAGGCCGUAAAAUGUGGUGGUUAGACUUGAACUCGGAUGGAAUAUGUGGCUCAUUGAAGAGGGCUAAGCCCAUGCCUAACAUGAGUAAGGCCCUUAGCACUAAAGGAAAACAACAAAUAAGCAAAAAACUAGACAAAGCAUCCUCAGGUGGUAGUUAGCCUUGGUUACUUUAGUGCGUGUACUGAGAGUGGUAGAGAUGGAGUGGUCAGCACGAUAAAUAGCAGCAAUCCUGGCUGCUACAUAGAGACUUUGGAUGAAGAGAUGGACAGCUACAUAGAGUAGGUUCCCCAUGGAAGACAGAUUCUGUUACUGAGAGGAAAAGAAAUAAAGUUGUAGACAGCCUACAGCCACCAGCAGUCCUGUG
rnacentral:lncRNA from 1 species